rnacentral:rRNA from 1 species
AAUGUACCGUGUAGUGGGGGAUAGCUCGGCGAAAGCCGGAUUAAUACCGCAUACGUCUUGCGAGAGAAAGUGGGGGACCUUUGGGCCUCACGCUAUACGAGCAGCCGAUGUCUGAUUAGCUAGUUGGUGGGGUAAGAGCCUACCAAGGCGACGAUCAGUAGCGGGUCUGAGAGGAUGAUCCGCCACACUGGGACUGAGACACGGCCCAGACUCCUACGGGAGGCAGCAGUGGGGAAUUUUGGACAAUGGGGGCAACCCUGAUCCAGCCAUGCCGCGUGUCUGAAGAAGGCCUUCGGGUUGUAAAGGACUUUUGUCAGGGAGGAAAUCCCGCUGGUUAAUACCUGGCGGGGAUGACAGUACCUGAAGAAUAAGCACCGGCUAACUACGUGCCAGCAGCCGCGGUAAUACGUAGGGUGCGAGCGUUAAUCGGAAUUACUGGGCGUAAAGCGUGCGCAGGCGGUUUUGCAAGU